rnacentral:rRNA from 1 species
AAAAAGGUUUACUCAAAGCACAUAGUGGAUGCCUAGACUGAAGUAAGCGAAGAAGGACGUAGCAGGCUGCGAUAAGCCUCGGGGAACUGUCAAGCAAGUUUUGAUCCGAGGAUUUCCGAAUGGGGCAACCCCUUCGAUCUUGUAUCGAAGAUUAUUAUCUGAAUACAUAGGAUAAUUAAAGCGCACCCUGGGAAUUGAAACAUCUUAGUACCAGGAGGAACAUAAAUCAAUAGAGAUUCCGUCAGUAGUGGCGAGCGAAAGCGGAAUAGCCUAAACCCAAUCUUCGGAUUGGGGGUUGCGAGGUAUUCUUACUCGUUUGAUCGGGUUUGAUUACAUUUUUUUAGUGGAAUAAUUUUGGAAAGAAAAGCCAUAGAGGGUAACAGCCCCGUACACGAAAAAAAGAUGUAGUCAUUGUGAAUAUCCUCAAGUAGGGCGGGACCGGAGAAAUCCCGUUUGAAUCUGGGAGCACUAACUUCCAAGGCUAAAUAUUACUUCAGAUCGAUAGUGAACUAGUACCGUGAGGGAAAGGUGAAAAGCAUCCCGUUAAGGGAGAUGAAAUAGUAUCUGAAACUAUGUGUUAACAAAGAGUCAGAGCCGUAAUUUAUUACGGUGAUGGCGUACUUUUUGCAGAACGGGCCAACGAGUUAGUUUUAUACGGCUUGCAUAAGCUACUUUGUAGAAUAUGCACAGUGAAAGCGAGGCUUAACCGCCGAAUUUGUCGUAUGGACUAGACCCGAAACCGGGCGAGCUACAUAUGAGCAGGGUGAACCCCAAGUAACAUUGGGGGGAGGCCCGAACCCACUGAUCGUGCAAUAUCAGGGGAUGACUUGUGUGUAGAGGAGAAAUUCCAAUCGAGCUCGGAAAUAGCUGGUUCUCUCCGAAAUAGCUUGAGGGCUAGCGUCUGGCAAAUGAGCAUGGGAGGUAGAGCUACUGAAUGAGUAUCCGCGGUUCGCCGUAGGCCACUCAAUCAAACUCCGAAUUCCUAUGUUUCUUAUCCAGGCAGUCAGAAAUCCGGCGCUAAGGUCGGAUCUCAAAAGGGCAACAGCCCAGAUCAUAAUCUAAGGUCCCCAAAUCCAUAUUAAGUGGGAAAGGAAGUGAAAUUUCUCAGACACCUAGUAGGUUGGCUUAGAAGCAGCCAUCCUUUAAAGAGUGCGUAAUAGCUCACUAGCUUAGAGAUUUUGCGCCGAAAAUGUAACGGGGCUAAAUAUGGUACCGAAGAUAUGAACUAUUUAAUCUUUCGAGAUUAGAUAUUGGUAGGAGAGCGUUCCUUGUGCAGCGAAGCCAAAGAUGUGAGUCAUGGUGGAGCGCAGGGAAGUGAGAAUGUUGGCAUGAGUAACCGCAAUGUGAGUGAGAUUCUCACACCCCGAAAGUCUAAGGUUUCCUGGGCAAUGGCAAUCAUCCCAGGGUUAGUCGGUCCUAAGGCGAGGCUGAAAGGCGUAGUCGAUGGACAGCUGGUUAAUAUUCCAGCACUAUAAUAAUAUUCGAUGGAGUGACGUAUUCUUGUAACUUUUGCACCUUAUUGGAUUGGUGUAGGGAUACUGAGGAUGCUAGGCAGGCAAAUCCGUCUAGCAAUAAUCCAAGGUAUUUCUGGACUUCCGUCUUCGGAUGGAAUAACAAAAGUGAGCAGGGUACCAGGAAAAGCUUCUAAGGUUCGUAUUAUUAUAUCCGUACCGUAAACCGACACAGGUAGACAGGGCGAGUAGCCCAAGGGGAAUGGGAGAACCUUCGUUAAGGAACUCGGCAAAAAAUCUAGAUGUAAGUUCGCGAGAUAUCUUCCCAACUCUUUGCUUGCAAAGGGCUGGGCGCAGCUAAAGAAUUCCAAGCGACUGUUUAUCAAAAACACAGGUCUCUGCAAACUCGUAAGAGGAUGUAUAGGGGCUGACGCCUGACCAGUGCUGGAACGUUAACGGGAGCGGUGCAAGCCAAUCCCCGAAGCGCCAGUGAACGUCGGCGAUAACUAUAAUCGUCCUAAGGUAGCGAAAUUCCUUGUCGGGUAAAUUCCGACCCGCAUGAAAGGCGUAACGACUUGGAAACUGUCUCAACGAAGGACCCAGUGAAAUUGCAAUGGGGGUAAAGAUGCCCCCUACCUACGGCAAGACGAAAAGACCCCGUGGAGCUUUACUACAGCUUGGUAUUGAAUUGAGGUUUUAGUUGCCCAGUAUAGGUGGGAGACUUUGAAGUGCUGAUUCUGGUUGGCAUGGAGUCACCAAUGGAAUACCACCCUGCUAUUAUUUCAAUUCUAACCUCGGACCGUUAUUUGGAUUUUUAAGACAUUAAAUUGUCAAACGAAUCAAAAUUUGGAUUCCGAAGAAAGUUGUUAGAGCUCAUUAAAAAUGGUCUUAACGUCAAUAAAAUGCAAACAUAAACUGUUAUUUAUGUGAGUGUUUUUGAGAUGUUUAAGUAUCAUUUGCGGUGGGGGUAUAAAAUUAUUUUUUAUACUAUAACAACUUAUCUUGAAUCUAAAUUUGAUCGUAAGAGUCUAAAUACCGGUCCGGGAACAGUGCCUGGUGGGUAGUUUGACUGGGGCGGUCGCCUCCUAAAUAGCAACGGAGGCGCUUACAAAGGUUGGCUAGGUCCGGAUGGAAAUCGGAUUGAUAGUGCAAAAGCAUAAGCCAGCUUUACUGAAAGACCUAUAAGUCGCUCAGUUACGAAAGUAGAAUUUAGUGAACCGACCAUCACUUGUAGGAGUGUGGAAGAUCAUCAGAUAAAAGUUACCCCGGGGAUAACAGGCUAAUAGUGCCCAAGAGUUCAUAUCGACGGCACUGUUUGGCACCUCGAUGUCGGCUCAUCUCAUCCUGGGGCUGGAGAAGGUCCCAAGGGUUUGGCUGUUCGCCAAUUAAAGAGGUACGCGAGCUGGGUUCAAACCGUCGUGAGACAGGUUGGUCUCUAUCUGCCGUAGGCGUCGUUGCUUGAAAGGAGUCUUUCCUAGUACGAGAGGACCGGAAAGAACAAACCUCUGGUGUAUCGGCUGUUCCGCCAGGAGCACUGUCGAGUAGCUAAGUUUGGAAAGGAUAACCGUUGAAAGCAUCUAAACGGGAAGCCUCCCUUAAGAUAAGGCAACUUUCUAGCUUGCUAGAAAUGAUUUCCUAGAAGAAGACUAGGUUGAUAGGCUUCAGGUAUAAGCCCUGUGAGGGGUUAAGCCAAGAAGUACUAAUAAGUCACAAAACCUUUUUUG